rnacentral:sRNA from 1 species
UUCUUGUCAAAAAUAAAUACCCAAAAUGAUUGUACAUAUAGCACUUGGAAGUACAGACGAAAUAGCAGCCUUGCAAGCGCCUCUAUGGCAGAAGAUACGAUGGGAAUACGAAUAAAUAUGUUCAUAUAUAUGUGUGUGUGUGUGCCAGCAUUGGUGUGUAUGAUUAUGCGACAAGGAGAACCAACAACUCAACGAAUAUGUGGGUGAAAUAAUAAAGCUCAAAAGUAUGUCAAAGGAUAGAGUCUCGUGGGGAAAAGAGAAACCGCAAAAGAGAGGAACACAAUAUUUACUCUGUGGAAUAAAAAAACUCCGAA